UACGGCGUGUAUUGCCUCAGUAGCGGCGAGUGAAGCGGCAAGAGCUCAGAUUUGAAAUCGUGCUUUGCGGCACGAGUUGUAUUGCAGGUUGGAGUCUGUGUGGAAGGCGGUGUCCAAGUCCCUUGGAACAGGGCGCCCAGGAGGGUGAGAGCCCCGUGGGAUGCCGGCGGAAGCAGUGAGGCCCUUCUGACGAGUCGAGUUGUUUGGGAAU
rnacentral:rRNA from 1 species